rnacentral:snRNA from 1 species
UAGAGAUUUUAGUUGGUUU